rnacentral:rRNA from 1 species
UACGGGGGGGGGCAAGCGUUGUUCGGAAUCACUGGGCGUAAAGGGCGCGUAGGCGGCCUACUAAGUCGGACGUGAAAUCCCUCGGCUCAACCGGGGAACUGCGUCCGAUACUGGUGGGCUUGAAUCCGGGAGAGGGAUGUGGAAUUCCAGGUGUAGCGGUGAAAUGCGUAGAUAUCUGGAGGAACACCGGUGGCGAAGGCGGCAUCCUGGACCGGUACUG